CAAGAAACGAGGCCACGUGCGCUCGCCCGCCCGGCCCCGCUCCUUACCUUGCCUACUGCACCGUUUGUUGCUUCCUGGCGGCGGACUGCCCGCCGCCAGGGACGUUGAUACAACCCUGUAUAGAAGCAUUGAAGCUCUGAGAAAACGCGAAAUCGUA
rnacentral:misc_RNA from 1 species